UACGGGGGGGGCAAGCGUUGUUCGGAAUUACUGGGCGUAAAGGUCUCGUAGGUGGCCAACUAAGUCAGACGUGAAAUCCCUCGGCUUAACCGGGGAACUGCGUCUGAUACUGGAUGGCUUGAGUUUGGGAGAGGGACGCGGAAUUCCAGGUGUAGCGGUGAAAUGCGUAGAUAUCUGGAGGAACACCGGUGGCGAAGGCGGCGUCCUGGACCAACACUGACACUGAUGAGCGAAAGCCAGGGGAGCAAACGGG
rnacentral:rRNA from 1 species